AGAGAGAUGGAUGAAGAAGAGCAUGAAGUUUAUGGAGGUGAAAUCCCCAUUGAAGGUGACAUGGAACCUCACGGUGCUGACGUGGAUAUGGCCACCGCCGAUGAUGAUGCUGUUAAGGAAUUGGAUGAGAUGAAGAAGAGAUUGAAGGAGAUGGAAGAUGAAGCUGCAGCUCUUAGGGAGAUGCAGGCUAAGGUUGAGAAGGAGAUGGGUUCUGUUCAAGACGAUCCUGCAAGUACAGCUGCUUCACAGGAAAACCGGGAAGAACUUGAUUCACGAUCAAUAUUUGUUGGCAAUGUUGACUAUGCAUGCACUCCAGAGGAAGUUCAGCAGCAUUUCCAGGCAUGUGGUACUGUCAAUCGGGUUACCAUUCUUACUGAUAAAUUUGGCCAACCCAAAGGUUUUGCAUAUGUGGAAUUCAUUGAACAAGAAGCUGUCCAGGAGGCACUCCAGCUGAAUGAGUCUGAACUGCAUGGACGUCAAUUGAAGGUAAUGCCCAAGAGGACUAAUGUUCCAGGAAUGAAGCAGUUCCGCCCAGGGCGCUUCAAUCCAUACUUGGGAGGUUACAGGUCUAGAAGGCCUUAUGCAGCUCCCUAUUUCUACUCUCCAUACGGAUACGGAAAAGUUCCAAGGUUCAGGAGGCCUGGGAGAUUCAUGCCUUACUAUUAAAAGAUGCCAAAAUCUGAUGAAUGCAGACUAGAAUCACAAUCAAAUACUGAUGCUGUCAUCUGGAGACCACCCAUUUCAUAUUUUUCAUAAUGUAUCAUUUAGGUACUGGUUGAGACUUUGUAGUAGCUUAUCUAGCAUAAGUCAAUGCUUCCUAUUUGCAUUUGAACUUGGUCAAAAAUCUCUUGUUCAACAUUAGUAUAAUCCUGUUGGAUGUUGAA
rnacentral:misc_RNA from 1 species